GAUAAAGGGACUCAUCGUGGCUCUGGCAGCCAUGUUAGCGCUCCUGAAGCUCAGAGGCGGCUCGGGGAGGAAGCACAGGAACGACCCCGAAGAGGUCACAGAGCUGCAGUCAGUCAAAGGAGACAGUCACGUGAACGAGAGCACGGCGUUCCACGUCGGCAGCACUAACGGACAGUCGAGCCUCCAGACCUGAGAAAAACCUGCAAACUCAACUAACUACAUACUAACAAACACACAAGCACUGCAACACACUGAAGAGGAACUGAUUAUCAUUUUAUUUCACGUUUUCAAAUGACUUUUUGAAAAGGGGAUUCUUCUAAUUUAAAUACGUGUUGAACGAAACGUCUUCAUGAAGGGUUUGUGGCCCCGGACAUGAAUCUGCUGUAGCAGGAGGUUUUUAUUUAUGAAGAAACCUAAAGGCUGAAUCCAGCUUAAUGAAGUUUUCAUCCAGGGGCCUGGGAAACGAUUAAUGAGCAAAGGACCUGUAGCUGCAUGUUGUCGAAGUGGAAUGAGGGAGUCGCUCUAGGGCCUGUUCAGAGGGCGGGGGAGUAUUUAACUCUUGUUCGGUGAUGUCGAGAUAAUUAGAGUCGCUCCUCUCUU